rnacentral:ncRNA from 1 species
UAUCAGUACAGGUAGAGAUGCACUGUAUACUCGUGUUACCGGACUAUUGUCUAAGCGACUUGUAAAGUCGUCGGCCACGGGGCCGCCACGUGGCGGUUUUUUUUUAA